UACGGAGGGUGCGAGCGUUGUCCGGAAUCACUGGACGUAAAGGGCGCGUAGGCGGCCUGGUAAGUAGGGGGUGAAAUCCUGCGGCUUAACCGCAGGGCUGCCUUCUAAACUGUCAGGCUCGAGCACGGUAGAGGCAGAUGGAAUUCCUGGUGUAGCGGUGGAAUGCGUAGAGAUCGGGAAGAACAUCAGUGGCGAAGGCGGUCUGCUGGGCCGUUGCUGACGCUGAGGCGCGACAGCGUGGGGAGCAAACAGG
rnacentral:rRNA from 1 species